rnacentral:rRNA from 1 species
UACAGGGGGUGCAAACGUUGCUCGGAAUUAUUGGGCGUACAGCGCGCGUAGGCGGCCACUUAAGUCGGAUGUGAAAGCCCCUGGCUCAACUGGGGAAGUGCACCCGAAACUGAAUGGCUUGAGUGCGAAAGAGGGUCGCGGAAUUCCCGGUGUAGAGGUGAAAUUCGUAGAUAUCGGGAGGAACACCGGUGGCGAAGGCGGCGACCUGGGUCGACACUGACGCUGAGGCGCGAAAGCGUGGGGAGCAAACAGG